GAAAGACCAUCAUGGCACCUUAUCUGAAUUGAUCAAAUUGUUGCUAACAAAGGAACCUUGAAAGAGUUCAGAGGUAAAUACCUGAAGAGCCUACAGAAAUAAAGACACGUCUAGAGUAGGCAUGUUGAAAUUACUCAAUACAAUCCUUACAAUUUCCUCUUCUUCUUGUUGAGCUAUAGACUCUAGUGAUUUUUAUAUAUAGAGUCGAUGGGA
rnacentral:lncRNA from 1 species